rnacentral:rRNA from 1 species
GACGAAGGGGGCAAGCGUUGUUCGGAAUUACUGGGCGUAAAGGGCGCGUAGGCGGUUCUUUAAGUCAGGCGUGAAAGCCCUGGGCUCACUGGGAGUGGCGCUUGAUACUGGAGGACUAGAGAGUGGGAGAGGUUGGUGGAAUUCCCAGUGUAGAGGUGAAAUUCGUAGAUAUUGGGAAGAACACCGGUGGCGAAGGCGGCCAACUGGACCAUUUCUGACGCUGAGGCGCGAAAGCGUGGGGAGCAAACAGG